rnacentral:ncRNA from 1 species
UUUGCUAGGGGAGCAUUUGCUGAGAAGGAUAUUAAUAAUAUCUGACCCUUAUUACUUGAACCGGGUAAUACCGGCGUAAGGAAGCAGUUUUAA